GACACUAUAGAAUACUCAAGCUAUGCAUCCAACGCGUUGGGAGCUCUCCCAUAUGGUCGACCUGCAGGCGGCCGCGAAUUCACUAGUGAUUGAUGCAUUCAACGAGCCUAUCCUUGGCCGACAGGCCCGGGUAAUCUUUGAAACUGCAUCGUGAUGGGGAUAGAUUAUUGCAAUUAUUAAUCUUCAACGAGGAAUGCCUAGUAAGCGCGAGUCAUCAGCUCGCGUUGAUUACGUCCCUGCCCUUUGUACACACCGCCCGUCGCUCCUACCGAUUGGGUGUGCUGGUGAAGCGUUCGGAUUGGCGUUAGUGGGCGGUUUUCCGCCUCCUCUCGCUGAGAAGUUCGUUAAACCCUCCCACCUAGAGGAAGGAGAAGUCGUAACAAGGUUUCCGUAGGUGAACCUGCGGAAGGAUCAUUG
rnacentral:rRNA from 1 species